rnacentral:tRNA from 1 species
GACAGUAUAGCUCAGUGGCAGAGUGUGUGCUUAGUGUGCACGUGGUCCUGGGUUCACUCCCUAGUACCUCCA